UUACGGUGCCGGCACCUGGCACAGUUUUAGAGAGCGGGCUGUGGUCCUUUGCCAGCAUGAGUUGAACUCUUCUGUUCUCAUCAGAAUUGUCUCAUCAGAGACAAUUAUAAAUGCAACGUGUCAGAGAGGGUAUGGAAGAGUAGAGUUUGGCUGAGGCAAGGGGCCAGAGGAAACCCAGCACUAUCAGACCCAGGCACUCCCGACCAACACCAAGGCAGUCAGACCCACCUCCCUUUCCCGGUUGGGCCGCAGCCACUUCUGACGGCACAACAGUUAGCCUCCGCCGUCGCUGGCGUGAUGCCGGGAGGCACACCUGCCCUCAACCAGCCUAUCCUCAUCCCCUUCAACAUGGCCGGACAGCUAGGAGGGCAGCAAGGACUGGUCCUCACACUGCCUACCGCGAAUCUCACCAACAUCCAAGGGCUGGUAGCAGCAGCUGCAGCGGGAGGCAUUAUGACUCUGCCAUUGCAAAA